AGCGCCGGGGCCGCUCGGGGAUGCGGGGCGGGCGCAGGUGCCGGUGCGGGGCCAGGUCGGGGCCGCGGCGCCGCUCCCGGUUCGGCGGCGCUCCCGCCCCCGGCCCCGCCCGGCCCCGCCGCCGCCCCGGGGAGGGCGGGGAGCGCCCGGCGGAGCGGCGGGAGCGGCGGGAGCGGCGGCGGGCGCGGGGCCCUCCCGGCGCUACCUGUGCGAGCGCCGCGGGGCCGGGCGGGGCCGGGAGGCGCUCCCAGCAUGGACUUUGACGGUGGGUUUGCGUCUUUGCCGUUCAGGAGCCCGGAGGAGGCGGCGGCGUCGGUGGGACGAGGGCCGGAUCCCGCGGGCACCGCCGGAGGAAGGGGCAGCCCGGCGGCCGGGGACCGUGCGCGGCGGGGCCACGCUUCCAGCAUGCUGCUCGCACGGACACCGCCCCGCCGCGCCGAAUCCCAGACGUGAAGCUGGCUGUGCUCUCCUGGGGACGAGGGGACAACCUGUUAGAAGCAGACGUGGUUCUGAUUCCCUUGGAAGAAGCACAAAAGGAGAUGUUCUGUUCUUUGAAAAUAACUGGAGCCACUGGCAAGAAGCAGCGACACUGCAUCGAACAAGGGAACCACUUCCAGGUUAUCAAAACAUGCUGUUGAACUGA
rnacentral:lncRNA from 1 species